CUCUGGUAACUAGAGAUCCCUCAGACCAUUUUGGUAGCGUGGAAAAUCUCUAGCAGUGGCGCCCGAACAGGGACCCGAAAACGAAAGUAAGACCAGAG
rfam:HIV-1 strain TZB0065 country Tanzania 5' long terminal repeat, complete sequence.